rnacentral:snRNA from 1 species
AUGCUUCAGCAGCACAUAUACUAAAAUUGAAACGAUACGGAGAUUAGCAUGACCCCUGCACAAGGAUGACACGCAAUUUGUGAAGAGUUCCAUAUUUUU